rnacentral:rRNA from 1 species
CAAUACGACUCUCGGCAACGGAUAUCUCGGCUCUCGCAUCGAUGAAGAACGUAGCGAAAUGCGAUACUUGGUGUGAAUUGCAGAAUCCCGUGAACCAUCGAGUCUUUGAACGCAAGUUGCGCCCGAAGCCUCCCGGCCAAGGGCACGUCUGCCUGGGCGUCACGCA